rnacentral:rRNA from 1 species
CGGGCUUGAAAGUUAGUGACGAUUCUGGAAACAGGAUUUCCCUUCGGGGCACGAAACUAGGUGCUGCAUGGUUGUCGUCAGCUCGUGCCGUGAGGUGUCGGGUUAAGUCCCAUAACGAGCGCAACCCCUACCGUUAGUUGCCAUCAGGUCAAGCUGGGCACUCUGGCGGGACUGCCGGUGUAAGCCGAGAGGAAGGUGGGGAUGACGUCAAAUCAGCACGGCCCUUACGUCCGGGGCUACACACGUGUUACAAUGGUAGGUACAGAGGGCCGCUACCCCGUGAGGGGAUGCCAAUCUCGAAAGCCUAUCUCAGUUCGGAUCGGAGGCUGAAACCCGCCUCCGUGAAGUUGGAUUCGCUAGUAAUCGCGCAUCAGCCAUGGCGCGGUGAAUACGUUCCCGGGCC